AUUAUAAUUAAAAUACAAAACAAAAAUAAAAACAUACAGGGCACAGAAAUGCCCUGUAUGUUUUUAUUUUUGUUUUGUAUUUUAAU